rnacentral:rRNA from 1 species
GACGUAGGAUGCAAGCGUUGUCCGGAUUUAUUGGGCGUAAAGAGUUCGUAGGCUGUUUGUUAAGUCUGAUGUUAAAGACCGGGGCUCAACCUCGGAAAUGCAUUGGAUACUGGCAGACUGGAGUGCAGUAGAGGCUAGUGGAAUUCCCAGUGUAGCGGUGAAAUGCGUAGAUAUUGGGAAGAACACCGGUGGCGUAGGCGACUAGCUGGGCUGUAACUGACGCUGAGGAGCGAAAGCCAGGGGAGCGAAUGGG